CUGGCGGCGUGCCUAACACAUGCAAGUCGAACGGAGAGGUGAUGUGUGAGGAGGAAUUGCUUGCAAGGAAUCCAAACUUUCACUUUCUAGUGGCGGACGGGUGAGUAACGCGUGGACAACCUGCCUUAAUCCGGGGGAUAGCAGCUGGAAACGGCUGAUAAUACCGCAUAAGCGCACAGCACGGCAUCGUGGAGUGUGAAAAGAUUUAUCGGGUUAAGAUGGAUCCGCGUCUGAUUAGCCAGUUGGCGGGGUAACGGCCCACCAAAGCGACGAUCAGUAGCCGGCCUGAGAGGGCGGACGGCCACAUUGGGACUGAGACACGGCCCAGACUCCUACGGGAGGCAGCAGUGGGGGAUAUUGCACAAUGGGCGCAAGCCUGAUGCAGCGACGCCGCCGUGAGUGAAGAAGUAUUUCGGUAUGUAAAGCUCUAUCGGCAGGGAAGAAAGGCCCGCAAGGGAGAUGACGGUACCUGACUAAGAAGCCCCGGCUAACUACGUGCCAGCCGCAGC
rnacentral:rRNA from 1 species